UACAGGGGGUGCAAACGUUGCUCGGAAUCAUUGGGCGUAAAGCGCACGUAGGCGGCCUGAUAAGUCGGAUGUGAAAUCCCUCGGCUCAACUGAGGACGUGCAUUCGAAACUGCCAGGCUCGAGUAUGGAAGAGGGUCGCGGAAUUCCCGGUGUAGAGGUGAAAUUCGUAGAUAUCGGGAGGAACACCGGUGGCGAAGGCGGCCUGCUGGGCAGUUGCUGACACUGAGGCGCGACAGCGUGGGGAGCAAACAGG
rnacentral:rRNA from 1 species